rnacentral:rRNA from 1 species
AUUGAACGCUGGCGGCAUGCCUUACACAUGCAAGUCGAACGGUAACGCGGGGGCAACCUGGCGACGAGUGGCGAACGGGUGAGUAAUAUAUCGGAACGUGCCCAGUAGUGGGGGAUAGCCCGGCGAAAGCCGGAUUAAUACCGCAUGAGACCUGAGGGUGAAAGCGGGGGAUCGCAAGACCUCGCGCUAUUGGAGCGGCCGAUAUCAGAUUAGGUAGUUGGUGGGGUAAAGGCCUACCAAGCCGACGAUCUGUAGCUGGUCUGAGAGGACGACCAGCCACACUGGGACUGAGACACGGCCCAGACUCCUACGGGAGGCAGCAGUGGGGAAUUUUGGACAAUGGGCGCAAGCCUGAUCCAGCCAUGCCGCGUGCGGGAAGAAGGCCUUCGGGUUGUAAACCUCUGUCAUGGGGGAAGAAGGAAGUGACGGUACCCCAAGAGGAAGCCCCUGCUAACUACGUG